GCCAGGUGUGGUGGUGCACGCCUGUAGUCCCAGCUAUUCAGGAGGCUGAGGCAGGAGGAUUACUUGAGACCGGGAGGUCAAGGCUGCAGUGAACUAUGAUCACACCACUGCACUCCAGCCUGGGUGACAGAGCAAGAUUCUGUCUCUU
ensembl:misc_RNA Metazoa_SRP Metazoan signal recognition particle RNA